rnacentral:rRNA from 1 species
GCAAUAGCGUAUAUUAAAGUUGUUGCAGUUAAAAAGCCCGUAGUUGAAUUUCGGGGUUAGUAGGUUGGUCAUGCCUCUGGUAUGUACUGGUCUCACUGAUUACUCCUUCCUGAUGAGCCGUAAAGCCAUUAAUUUGGGGUUGCGGGGAACUUGGACUGUUACUUUGAAAAAAUUAGAGUGUUUAAAGCAAGCUAACGCUUGAAUAAAUUAGGAUGGUAUAAUGAAAUAGGACGUUCGAUCCUAUUUUGUUGGUUUCUAGGAUUGACGUAAUGAUUAAUAGGGAUAGUUGGGGGCAUUAGUAUUCAAUUGUCAGAGGUGAAAUUCUUGGAUUUAUUGAAGACUAACUACUGCGAAAGCAUUUGCCAAGGAUGUUUUCAUUAAUCAAGAACGAAAGUUAGGUGAUCGAAGACGAUCAGAUACCGUCGUAGUCUUAACCAUAAACUAUGCCGACUAGGGAUCGGAUGAUGUUAAUUUUUUAAUGACUCAUUCGGCGCCUUACG